rnacentral:tRNA from 1 species
AGGGGUAUAGCUCAGUUGGUAGAGCGGCGGUCUCCAAAACCGCAGGCCGGGGGUUCAAGUCCCUCUGCCCCUG